rnacentral:rRNA from 1 species
AUUGAACGCUGGCGGCAGGCUUAACACAUGCAAGUCGAGCGAGCGGCGGACGGGGGAGUAAUGUCUGGGAAACUGACUGAUGGAGGGGGAUAACUACUGGAAACGGUAGCUAAUACCGCAUCCCACAAGAUGUGCCCAGAUGGGAUUAGCUAGGAGGUUGGUUAAGGGCACACCAAGGCGACGAGCCCUAGCUGGUCUGAGAGGAUGACCGGCCACACGGGAACUGAGACACGGUCCAGACUCCUACGGGAGGCAGCAGUGGGGAAUAUUGCACAAUGGGCGCAAGCCUGAUGCAGCCAUGCCGCGUGUGUGAAGAAGGCCUUCGGGUUGUAAAGCACUUUCAGCGAGGAGGCGUUACUCGCAGAAGAAGCACCGGCUAACUCCGUGCCAGCAGCCGCGGUAAUUC